UCGAUGCCUUCGAAACACAACCGCGAACACGUAAUGCAAAGCUGCUUGGGGAGGGUCCUCCUCCCCGGACCUACCGGCCUCGGCCCCUUGGCCGGGUGCCGGAACACGGCGCGGAUUGUCGCCAAGGAACACUGAUCUGCCAAGGCACGCCGCCACCCGCGGUGUUGUCGAGGCCUAAGAAAC
rnacentral:misc_RNA from 1 species